AUUGAACGCUGGCGGCAGGCCUAACACAUGCAAGUCGAGCGGAUGAAGAGAGCUUGCUCUCUGAUUUAGCGGCGGACGGGUGAGUAAUGCCUAGGAAUCUGCCUGGUAGUGGGGGAUAACGUCCGGAAACGGGCGCUAAUACCGCAUACGUCCUACGGGAGAAAGCAGGGGACCUUCGGGCCUUGCGCCAUCAGAUGAGCCUAGGUCGGAUUAGCUAGUUGGUGAGGUAAUGGCUCACCAAGGCGACGAUCCGUAACUGGUCUGAGAGGAUGAUCAGUCACACUGGAACUGAGACACGGUCCAGACUCCUACGGGAGGCAGCAGUGGGGAAUAUUGGACAAUGGGCGAAAGCCUGAUCCAGCCAUGCCGCGUGUGUGAAGAAGGUCUUCGGAUUGUAAAGCACUUUAAGUUGGGAGGAAGGGCAGUAAGUUAAUACCUUGCUGUUUUGACGUUACCGACAGAAUAAGCACCGGCUAACUUCGUGCCAGCAGCCGCGGUAAGAC
rnacentral:rRNA from 1 species